AGGGAAACAACCCAGACCGCCAGCUAAGGUCCCAAAGUCAUGGUUAAGUGGGAAACGAUGUGGGAAGGCCCAGACAGCCAGGAUGUUGGCUUAGAAGCAGCCAUCAUUUAAAGAAAGCGUAAUAGCUCACUGGUCGAGUCGGCCUGCGCGGAAGAUGUAACGGGGCUAAACCAUGCACCGAAGCUGCGGCAGCGACACUCAGGUGUUGUUGGGUAGGGGAGCGUUCUGUAAGCCUGUGAAGGUGGCCUGUGAGGGUUGCUGGAGGUAUCAGAAGUGCGAAUGCUGACAUAAGUAACGAUAAAGCGGGUGAAAAGCCCGCUCGCCGGAAGACCAAGGGUUCCUGUCCAACGUUAAUCGGGGCAGGGUGAGUCGACCCCUAAGGCGAGGCCGAAAGGCGUAGUCGAUGGGAAACGGGUUAAUAUUCCCGUACUUGGUGUUACUGCGAAGGGGGGACGGAGAAGGCUAUGUUGGCCGGGCGACGGUUGUCCCGGUUUAAGCGUGUAGGUGUGUGUUCCAGGUAAAUCCGGUUCACUUUAACACUGAGGCGUGACGACGAGGCACUACGGUGCUGAAGCAACAAAUGCCCUGCUUCCAGGAAAAGCCUCUAAGCAUCAGGUAACAUCAAAUCGUACCCCAAACCGACACAGGUGGUCAGGUAGAGAAUACCAAGGCGCUUGAGAGAACUCGGGUGAAGGAACUAGGCAAAAUGGUGCCGUAACUUCGGGAGAAGGCACGCUGACACGUAGGUGAAGUGAUUUACUCAUGGAGCUGAAGUCAGUCGAAGAUACCAGCUGGCUGCAACUGUUUAUUAAAAACACAGCACUGUGCAAACACGAAAGUGGACGUAUACGGUGUGACGCCUGCCCGGUGCCGGAAGGUUAAUUGAUGGGGUCAGCGCAAGCGAAGCUCCUGAUCGAAGCCCCGGUAAACGGCGGCCGUAACUAUAACGGUCCUAAGGUAGCGAAAUUCCUUGUCGGGUAAGUUCCGACCUGCACGAAUGGCGUAAUGAUGGCCAGGCUGUCUCCACCCGAGACUCAGUGAAAUUGAACUCGCUGUGAAGAUGCAGUGUACCCGCGGCAAGACGGAAAGACCCCGUGAACCUUUACUAUAGCUUGACACUGAACAUUGAGCCUUGAUGUGUAGGAUAGGUGGGAGGCUUUGAAGUGUGGACGCCAGUCUGCAUGGAGCCGACCUUGAAAUACCACCCUUUAAUGUUUGAUGUUCUAACGUGGACCCGUUACCCGGGUUGCGGACAGUGUCUGGUGGGUAGUUUGACUGGGGCGGUCUCCUCCUAAAGAGUAACGGAGGAGCACGAAGGUUGGCUAAUCCUGGUCGGACAUCAGGAGGUUAGUGCAAUGGCAUAAGCCAGCUUGACUGCGAGCGUGACGGCGCGAGCAGGUGCGAAAGCAGGUCAUAGUGAUCCGGUGGUUCUGAAUGGAAGGGCCAUCGCUCAACGGAUAAAAGGUACUCCGGGGAUAACAGGCUGAUACCGCCCAAGAGUUCAUAUCGACGGCGGUGUUUGGCACCUCGAUGUCGGCUCAUCACAUCCUGGGGCUGAAGUAGGUCCCAAGGGUAUGGCUGUUCGCCAUUUAAAGUGGUACGCGAGCUGGGUUUAGAACGUCGUGAGACAGUUCGGUCCCUAUCUGCCGUGGGCGCUGGAGAACUGAGGGGGGCUGCUCCUAGUACGAGAGGACCGGAGUGGACGCAUCACUGGUGUUCGGGUUGUCAUGCCAAUGGCACUGCCCGGUAGCUAAAUGCGGAAGAGAUAAGUGCUGAAAGCAUCUAAGCACGAAACUUGCCCCGAGAUGAGUUCUCCCUGAGACUUUAGGUCUCCUGAAGGAACGUUGAAGACGACGACGUUGAUAGGCCGGGUGUGUAAGCGCAGCGAUGCGUUGAGCUAACCGGUACUAAUGAACCGUGAGGCUUAACCUUACAACGCCGAAG
rnacentral:rRNA from 2 species